CUUUUGUAUGUUUAUUUCAUGCAAAGGAGAAAAAAUAUGGCUCAAAUUCUCUUUUAUGUUUAUGCUUUGAUCAUCCUUUUUUCUCCAUCUCUUGUUGUACCACUAAAAGUAAUAAUUCCGUCAAGUACCUGUGAUUCUGACUAUGAUUGUUUACGUUACGAAGAAGCACUCAAUGUUAUUACAUGUUGCAAUAAUGGCCUUUGUGUGAUGUUUUGCCCAGACUUUGAUUGAAAAGAACAUGAGAAAAUUGCGACAAUUGUAUGAAAAAACCCAAUUACAGUGAUAAUAUUGUGCUUAUAAAUGCGGGGAGAGACAUGGUCCGGAGCAGAUUUGAUGGAGAGGUAGAGGCGGCGAUUGGUGUUGGAGAAAGUAGAGAUGGAACUUUAGGAGGAGGUGUGGAGAUCCUUACACACAUCUGGGAAAUUCUAAUGAAAUCCACCACACGUGUGAAAGCCCUCGUUAAAUCAACCAAAAAGUAGGACACAGUAAUAAAAUUGUAUGUGAGCACUGAGCAUAGAAAAUAUAUAUGAAUACCUUGAAAAAAUGAAAAUGCUCUUUAAGAUCUUAAAUAUUGAUAUAUUGUUAGAGUUCAUAAA